rnacentral:rRNA from 1 species
AGAACGAACGCUGGCGGCAUGCCUAAUACAUGCAAGUCGAACGAACGCUUCGGUGUUAGUGGCGCACGGGUGCGUAACGCGUGGGAAUCUGCCCUUGGGUUCGGAAUAACAGUUGGAAACGACUGCUAAUACCGGAUGAUGACGAAAGUCCAAAGAUUUAUCGCCCAGGGAUGAGCCCGCGUAGGAUUAGCUAGUUGGUGAGGUAAAGGCUCACCAAGGCGACGAUCCUUAGCUGGUCUGAGAGGAUGAUCAGCCACACUGGGACUGAGACACGGCCCAGACUCCUACGGGAGGCAGCAGUAGGGAAUAUUGGACAAGUGGGCGCAAGCCUGACUCCAGCAAUGCCGCGUGAGUGAUGAAGGCCGUUAGGGUUGUAAAGCGUUCUUUUACCCGAGAUGAUAAGUGACAGUAGUACGGAAGAACUAACGCCCGGACUAACGCCGCGCCAGCACGCCGAC